rnacentral:tRNA from 2 species
UCCUCGGUAGCUCAGCUGGUAGAGCGGGUGGCUGUUAACCACUUGGUCGGGGGUUCGAGUCCCUCCCGAGGAGCCA